GCAGGAUAGUCUAGUGGUUAGGUUGACUCCCAGCCGAAAGGUCCUGGGUUCAAUCCCCGAUGUCUGCA